CAGGACAUUGCGCAGGAAGCGCCAACGACAAAACGGAAAAUCAGGGAAUCCACCACGGAUGGUGGCUCGCAAGGACGUCAGGAUAUCGGUCUGCAAAGCCCCGCUUCGGCGGGGUUUU
rnacentral:sRNA from 1 species